CUCCUCUUCUCCCGAUUUUCCCCUUCUCCUCUUCUCACCACCACUCUUUUCUCUUCUAUCUCGAUCGAAUCGAGUCAACGAUCAUCUCAUCACCGACGCCGACCACCGAGCGCUGAUCCGGCCGUCAUUUAUCCCCUCUUGGUUGCAGACACUCGAAGCUUGUCGGAAAUCAAGCAAGGAGCCCUCGAUCUUCUGAUUGCUUGACGCUGAACCUCGCCUCCUUGGACGACGAUCCUGGCCAAGAGUCGGUCGAUGCGUCGGCUACCCACAGGCCUCAUUGAGCUGAGCCCUAGCCGUUGAUCCACCGCCGUGCCCUUCUCUCGGCGCCUCUCUUGCUGACGCCAUCGCCAGAUGAUAUCGAUGUACGCAGUCUCAAGCGGUAGCGGACACAGAUCGAUUCCGUCGUCACCUCAUGGAGCUAUAUCGCUACCGUAGCUUGGAUUAACACUACCUUGCCCUCUUCUUUGCCCAAUUACUAGGUGGCCGGAAGACUUAGUAAUGGAGAGGAGUCUGCUGGUAUUAGAAUGAGUUUCAGCCAGCAUUGUUCGCUGGAGAACCACAAUUCCGACCAUCCUGUUCUGACAGUGAACCUCUUCUACCUGAGUCGAUGAAGGAGCAAUCCAAUUUGGGAUUCUUAUUUUGAGGAGGACAUUUUGAUAUGAGAGUUAUAUUAGUACGAUCUACAUAAACGGUAGCAGGUAGUGAUUAUGUGGAGUCACUUAGAGUAUUCUAUCUGCCGGUCCCACGUCACAUCCGAAGACAAUCUUUACUUUGUUCUUGUUUCCUUAAAUGUUUUCUUUACGGUAUUGGCGUUAUAUUGGUGUUUAGCCAUGUGACUUCUUUACCGUUUUUAGUAUUUUGUUGUGUUUAAGCCGUGCCGGCACACAUUGUAUUUUUUUGGUUUAUGGGCUUUCCUUUCAUUUUCCGUUGUGUUUUUAGUACAACUGUGUGAGUUGUUUAUUAUAAAACUGCGUGGUUGUAAUUAUUUUAUUCCAACCGAAUGAGCUAUGUAUAUAACUGCGUGAUUGUGUA